rnacentral:rRNA from 1 species
GAUUAACGUUGGUAGUAUGCCUAACACAUGCAAGUCGAGCGGAAAGUAAUAGCAAUAUUGCUUUUAGCGGCGAACGGGUGAGUAAUACUUAUUUUACUUGCCAAUUAGUGGGGGAUAGCCAUUGGAAACUUUGGGUAAUACCGCAUUUGUUACUUAGUAAUGAAAGGGAACCGCAAGGUUCUCGCUAGUUGAUAGGGAUAAGUCGUAUUACUUAGUUGGUGGGGUAAUGGCCUACCAAGACAAUGAUGCGUAGCCAGCCUGAGAGGGUGAAUGGCCACAAGGGAACUGAGACACGGUCCCUACUCCUACGGGAGGCAGCAGUGGGGAAUUUUUGGCAAUGGGGGAAACCCUGACCGAGCAAUACUACGUGAAGGAGGAAGGUCUACGGAUUGUAAACUUCUUUACUUGGAUGUACUCCUUAAAGCUUGCAUCCGAGCAAAAAGUCACGACUAACUAUGUGCCAGCAGUCGCGGUAAGACAUAGGUGGCGAACGUUAUCCGGAAUUAUUGGGCGUAAAGGAUGCGUAGAUGGCAUGACAAGUUAUCAGUGGGAAAUCGGGGGCCCAACCCCGUGGAAGCUGAUAAUACUAUUAUGCUUGAGUACGGGAGGGGUUAACGGAACUCCAUGUGGAGCGGUAAAAUGUGACGAUAUAUGGAAGAACACCAAUAAGGCCAAGGCAGUUAACUAUUCUGCUACUGACAGUGAGGCAUGAAAGCGUGGGGAGCAAAACGGAUUAGAUACCCGUGUAGUCCACGCCCUAAACGAUGAGUGCUAGAUAUUGGGAACUUGAUUUCUCAGUGUCGCUAGUUAACACGGUAAGCACUCCGCGUGGGUAGUACGAUCGCAAGGUUGAAACUCAAAGGAAUUGACGGGGACUCGCACAAGCAGUGGAUCAUGUGGUUUAAUCCGAUACAACGCGUAGAACCUUACCAAGGCUUGACAUGUUGGGCAAAGCUAGGGAAACCUAGUGGAGGUUAUCCUAACACAGGUGCUGCAUGGCCGUCGUCAGUUCGUGCCGUGAGGUGUAUGGUUAAUUCCUAUAACGAACGCAACCCUUGUGCUUAGUUGCCAGCAUUAAGUUGGGGACUCUAAGCAGACUGCCAGGGUAACCUGGAGGAAGGAAAGGAUGACGUCUGGUCGUCAUGGCCCUUAUGCCUUGGGCGACACACGUGAUACAAUGGUUAGUACAAAGGGUUGCCAACUCGCGAGGGGGAGCUAAUCUCAAAAAACUAACCUCAGUUCGGAUUGGAGGUUGCAACUCACCUCCAUGAAGGUGGAAUUGCUAGUAAUCGCAAAUCAGCCAUGUUGCGGUGAAUACGUUCUCGAG